CGUAGCCGACCUGAGAGGGUGAUCGGCCACACUGGGACUGAGACACGGCCCAGACUCCUACGGGAGGCAGCAGUAGGGAAUCUUCCGCAAUGGACGAAAGUCUGACGGAGCGACGCCGCGUGAGUGAUGAAGGUCUUCGGAUCGUAAAACUCUGUUGUGAGGGAAGAACAAGGGUGAGUUGAAGAAGCUCACCCCUUGACGGUACCUCACCAGAAAGCCCCGGCUAACUACGUGCCAGCAGCCGCGGUAAUACGUAGGGGGCGAGCGUUGUCCGGAAUUAUUGGGCGUAAAGGGCGCGCAGGCGGCCUUCUAAGUCUGAUGUGAAAUCUCGUGGCUUAACCACGAACGGUCAUUGGAAACUGGAGGGCUUGAGUACAGAAGAGGAGAGUGGAAUUCCACGUGUAGCGGUGAAAUGCGCAGAGAUGUGGAGGAACACCAGUGGCGAAGGCGACUCUCUGGCCUGUAACUGACGCUGAGGCGCAAAAGCGUGGGUAGCAAACAGGAUUAGAUACCCUGGUAGUCCACGCCGUAAACGAUGAGUGCUAGGUGUUAAGGGGUUUCCGCCCCUUAGUGCUGCAGU
rnacentral:rRNA from 1 species